UACGAAGGGGGCUAGCGUUGUUCGGAUUUACUGGGCGUAAAGCGCACGUAGGCGGAUUGUUAAGUCAGGGGUGAAAUCCCAGGGCUCAACCCUGGAACUGCCUUUGAUACUGACGAUCUGGAGAUCGGGAGAGGUUGGUGGAAUUCCGAGUGUAGAGGUGAAAUUCGUAGAUAUUCGGAGGAACACCAGAAGCGAAGGCGGCCAACUGGCCCGAUACUGACGCUGAGGCGCGAAAGCGUGGGGAGCAAACAGG
rnacentral:rRNA from 1 species